UACGUAGGGUGCAGGCGUUAAUCGGAAUUACUGGGCGUAAAGCGUGCGCAGGCGGUUUGCUAAGAGAGAUGUGAAAUCCCCGGGCUUAACCUGGGAACUGCGUUUGUAACUGGCAGGCUUGAGUGUGGCAGAGGGGGGUGGAAUUCCACGUGUAGCAGUGAAAUGCGUAGAGAUGUGGAGGAACACCGAUGGCGAAGGCAGCCCCCUGGGCUAACACUGACGCUCAUGCACGAAAGCGUGGGGAGCAAACAGG
rnacentral:rRNA from 1 species